CUAAACUUAGCCUGGUUGAUGCAGGCUAGUUAGUAUUCAAGCUGAAUAUUACGUGUCCUUUUUUUCUUUUUCUUUUUACAAAUUUGAGUGUCGAUUUCAUAUACUACUACAUUUUUUUGAACAGAAAAAACUGGAGAAGAGAAACAGUAAAGCCGAAGCCGACUUCAGUUCCGGACUUCAGGGAGAGAACAACCAAUAGAGCAGUCGAGUGCUGUGUGUAACCAGAACCGAGCCUGGUACCAGCUGAGUCGCCAAAACGAAAAUUCGAGAGACGAGCAUACUCUAACCCUCGUAUCAUGCAUGUAUGUUUUUGGAGAUGAUUUGACCAUUAAUUUCGUAUACCCUUCCUUAACCCUUAUUUCGUUGAACAUGUUCUACGAUUCCUCUGUAGAAUCCGGAACAGAGACGAAGCGAACCCGAGUCAGCCGACGAACUCGACAACAAAAUCGAGCAAGCAACCCACUACGAGUCUACGACGCCCAGGAGAACGAACGAGAUGUACGAUCGCUUUUUCGAGUCUAAUUCUCAAGGAUUCCCCCCCAAAACAUUAACAGAGAGAGCAUCCGGAUGAGGGAAGGGAAGGGAAGGGGGCAGGGAUGGUCACUGACCGGGCUUGCGCGCGCGGAGCCGCGCGGCGAC
rnacentral:lncRNA from 1 species